GCCCUACAUAAGGUCAAAAUGGCGGAGAAUAACAUGUGCAUUUGUUAUGGUUUGGCUAUUUCGCCCUGAGAGCGUUAUAUGAAACGGUUGAAGGAAAAUGUACUCUAGAGUACCACCGCCAACCAAAGAUGAUUUAAGAUGUGAUGUUUUCAACAAUGCUAGUGAAGAUAAUGGGCCGAAAGCGAACAACGGUGACGAUAAAGUCUCUGCGCCUGAAGUAAACAAGAAAAAUCAUGACACAUCUGAUUCAACUGAAAGACCAAAAAAUAUUUCACAGCAAGCAUGGGAGAAAUUUCAAGCUCUGCGCAAAAGAAGAGAAGAUAUGUCAAGAAAAUCAACGGAAAAACGUAUCAGGGAUUUGCAAAAGAACGUCUUACAAAAAGUGUCAGCAGAGAUCCAACAUCCCGAAGACAUAAACAUAAUGAGAAAGCACAAUGUUAGGAUACCAGGCAGACCAAACCAAGAAACUGGGAACACUGAGAAGAAAAAAAGAAAGCAUUCAAGUACAGAAGAAUAUCAAAUUCUAGGGAGAACUGCAAGUUGCAGUGAACAAGAAGAGUGGCAAAAUAUCAAGCAAUAUCUGGGAGCCAGUGAUCACUUGAAGGGAACAGAUCUAGGCAAACACGCGCCAAAGACAAAACUGGAAGACAUUGAUUUGUGCGUGAAACAAGGAGACUUUGAAACUGCAGAGAAACUAAGUGAUAAAUUAGCCAACAGGGAGUUUGCCAAUGUAUGUGAAUAGGCCGAGAUAAAACAAUUUGGAGACACCCCAGAGACACUAUUGUGUUAAAUUUCACAACUGAAGAUUUACAUGGAAAGGCAACACAUACUUAUGGUGCAGCUCUGAGGUAGAGUUAUGGGUGACAGCUGUCAGGACCUGAGUGUGGAUAUCUAGGGUGUGGUAAAUACUGG
rnacentral:misc_RNA from 1 species